CGGCGAACGGUCGCGUAACACGUAAGCAACCUGCCCCGAAGACCGGGACAACACUUCGAAAGGGGUGCUAAUACCGGAUGUGACCGCUUCCUGACAUCGGGAGGCGAUUAAAUCCCUUGUGGGCUUCGGGAGGGGCUUGCGGCCUAUCAGCUAGUUGGUGGGGUAACGGCCUACCAAGGCGACGACGGGUAGCUGGUCUGAGAGGAUGGUCAGCCGGACUGGGACUGAGAUACGGCCCAG
rnacentral:rRNA from 1 species